rnacentral:rRNA from 1 species
CAUGCGGUGGACACUUGCUUGUUGCUUUAGGGGGGUGUUUUUUUGGGGCAACCCGAGGACACCACCCGGCGGCAGGGGAAAGGCCACUGCGGGCGGGGCCCAUUUAUAUUUCUCGAAGACGUCACGGGCCCUUAACUGGUGUACUGUGGUCGCGGAUUCGAGACGUUUACUUUGAAAAAAUUAGAGUGUUCAAAGCAGGCAAUCAAAAACGCUUGAAUACAUUAGCAUGGAAUAAUGGAAUAGGACUUUGGUCUUAUUUUGUUGGUUUCUAGGAGUGAAGUAAUGAUUAAUAGGGACAGUUGGGGGCAUUCGUAUUUAAUUGUCAGAGGUGAAAUUCUUGGAUUUAUGAAAGACGAACUUCUGCGAAAGCAUUUGCCAAGGAUGUUUUCAUUAAUCAAGAACGAAAGUUAGGGGAUCGAAGACGAUUAGAUACCGUCGUAGCCCUAACCAUAAACUAUGCCGACUAGGGAUCAGUGGGGAACAAAUCAAAAAACUCCAUUGGCACCUUAUGAGAAGUCAAAGUUUUUGGGUUCUGGGGAAAGUACCAACGCAAGUUGGAAACUUAAAGGAAUUGACGGAAGGGCACACCAGGCGUGGAAUCUGCGGCUUAAUUUGACCCAACACGGGGAAACUCACCAGGUCCAGACAAAAUAAGGAUUGACAGAUUGAGAGCUCUUUCUUGAUUUUUUGGGCAGUGGUGCAUGGCCGUUCUUAGUUGGUGGAGCGAUCUGUCUGGUUAAUUCCGAUAACGAACGAGACCUUAACCUGCUAAAUAGCGACGUCAUUCCUUGUGAAGGACGGAUUUUGACUUCUUAGAGGGACUAUCGGUGACUAACCGAUGGAAGUUUGAGGCAAUAACAGGUCUGUGAUGCCCUUAGAUGUUCUGGGUCGCACGCGCGUUACACUGACAGAGGCAGCGAGUUUUUUUAAAUAUCCUGGCCUGGAAAGGUUUGGGUAAUCUUGUGAAUCUCUGUCGUGAUGGGGAUAGAUCUUUGUAAUUAUCGAUCUUCAACGAGGAAUGCCUUGUAAUCGCGGUUCAUCAAAUCGCGUUGACUACGUCCCUGCCCUUUGUACACACCGCCCGUCGCUACUACCGAUUGAAUGGUUUAGUGAGGUCUCGGGACUGGCGCGGCUUGGCUGUAAAAGGCCGAUCCAUGCUGGGAACUUGCCCAAACUUGAUCAUUUAGAGGAAGUAAAAGUC